UAAAGGAAUAGUGUAUUAAGCAUUAUCGAACUUUUAAUUCGAAGGAAAUCCUUUUU
rnacentral:tRNA from 1 species